GCGGAGAUUUUUGUUUAAGAAGUAUUGCACAAUUCCUUAAAAAUACCACAGCAUACUGAAACGGAAUUAGAAACCAGAAAACUGUGCAAUUUAUCCAACAUAAUUACUGUCAAGGGAAUAAAUAAAGUCAUUCAGCCAGUGGCUUUUUAUUAAAUAAAGUCAAUUAACACUCACAAAAGGAUAAAAUAAAAGAGAGCAGAGACAUUCAGCCAUGUGCUAAUGGAAGAUCAAAGAGGACCUGGAAACGUCCCAUUCUCCCUCUGCUCAUUCCACCUCUCAAUCCAUUCA
rnacentral:misc_RNA from 1 species